CUGAGCUUUUAAAUGAACAAUUUGGGUUGUAUAAUGUUUAGUAACAACAGAGGUUUUGUUUGUAGGCCCGAGGAAAGCCUUUCUCUAAACUCCGCCAUUUUACCAUAUUAUGUUUUCACAUUAGCACUUUUUAUUUGAAUUAUUUGUGCAGCUAAUAGUUUGCACCGUUUUAGUGUUUAUUCGAUAUUUAAAUAAUAACAUUUUUAAUGUAUUAAUGUAAUUUUUAAAAUCGUGAAAGUUGGGCUGUGGUGACGUCACAAACAAAAUGUUCCCGCUCAAUGUUGCGUUCAUUGUUGUUGGCCGGGCACAAAGAAAGCUAAAGGCUCCUCAGCGCUAUUGUGUUCUAGCUUGUUUUUGUCUAUGAGUUGACUCGUUACUGUUGUUUUGUGUUUGCUCUGCUCGUGUUAUCACCAACAGUCGGAAUUGUUAACGACUAAGUGUAACACAUAAGGAAACUGACCUCACAGGAAGGAACAUGGCAAUGAAACAGGCUAGAGGGUUGGACACCGCCGCCAUGGUGGCCGACAGAUGAUAGGCCUUGUUUCCGUAUGGCAUGCAUGAGUACGACUGCACAGACGGGAGCACCACGUUGGUCAGAGCAUUGAUCCAGCACAGAAUCCCAAAGAUGUACAACACCUGCAUCCAGCUAUUCAUCCCUGAACCCCACCUCAGUGCUUCAGUCCUGGGCGACAUCUCUACCACCAGGUAAACACGGGGUGAACUGACCUUCAUGCAGCACGUAAACAACCACCGGCAACUCGACCCACAAACUGUUGACGGAGAUCCAGGAGCCCAUGGCGAAAAGAGCCAUUAGUCCGUGGGUCACCGCAGCGCUGCUCCACCAGCUGCCGGACAUGGUUGCACCGAUUCCGGCCAAGGGGUCGACAAAGACAAGGGGAAACUUGGGACACCUCUCCACACACAAGUAACUCGUGUGAGGACGGAAGUGAAGGGUCUGCAUUCGAAGGGCUCCUCUGCAGGAUCAUGGACUGCUGCUUCACCAAAGGAGAAGCUGUCUCUCUGCUUCAUCGUGUGCUGUUCCUGGAUAAAGACACAAUUGGAAAAACAUGAAAUAUACCAGACAGCGGACCAUGGUGCAACGAGUAUUUUUGCUUCGUGUCUGAAUUCUCCAUCUUGACCUGAGGAAUUCAAAGGAGGACAUGGAAAAGUAACAAUAAGAAUUUAUCACCUGAGUGUCAGCGCUUUUCAUAUGGAACACCCCGAGUGAUGACAAGCUGUCAGCAAACAAUUCAAGCAUCGGUAUUUGGUCCACACAGACGACAGAAAUAAUCCAGACCAGAUGAUGGAGCUGUUCCAGAGUGAAAAGGUCUGCAGGUGGAAACAGGAACCACAGGUGUCUCAGCGAAUCAACUUCCAGAUGAUAAGAUGAUAAGCUUGUCCAGAUCCUUCUUGUUGAGGACGCCGAUGUCGUGGAGCCUCUCAGCUGGAACCUUUUCCCUGAUUCCUUCAAACGACAAAGGUGAGUCCCCUUCUUUCUUCACCCCAUCUACCUCAGUAGAACCAUUGAG